rnacentral:miRNA from 14 species
ACCUGGGCUUGGGUGGUAGGAAGAAUGGGGGCUGGCCUUUCAAUUCCGGAUCUGGCUCUAGCCCCACAGCCUCAGCCACCCCAGCCAAUUGUCAUGGG